GUCACUUGGGUUUCUUGUUAAAAUGCAGAUUCUGGUUCAGUGGGUCUGGGUUGGAGACUGAGAAUCUGCAUUCUAGCAAGCUCCCAGGUGAUGCUGA
rnacentral:pre_miRNA from 1 species